rnacentral:tRNA from 1 species
GGCUACGUAGCUCAGCUGGUUAAGGCACAUCACUCAUAAUGAUGGGGUCACAGGUUCGAAUCCCUCCGGAGCAACCA